UCCUACGGGGGGCAGCAGUGGGGAAUAUUGGACAAUGGGCGAAAGCCUGAUCCAGCAAUGCCGCGUGAGUGAAGAAGGCCUUAGGGUUGUAAAGCUCUUUCACCCGCGACGAUGAUGACGGUAGCGGGAGAAGAAGCCCCGGCUAAUUCCGUGCCAGCAGCCGCGGUAAUACGGAAGGGGCUAGCGUUGUUCGGAAUCACUGGGCGUAAAGCGCGCGUAGGCGGCCGGUCAAGUGCGGCGUGAAAGUCCUGGGCUCAACCCGGGGACGGCGCUGCGGACUGUCCGGCUGGAGUCCGGAAGAGGGUGGUGGAAUUCCGAGUGUAGAGGUGAAAUUCGUAGAUAUUCGGAGGAACACCGGUGGCGAAGGCGGCCACCUGGUCCGGUACUGACGCUCAAGCGCGAAAGCGUGGGGAGCAAACAGGAUUAGAUACCCCGGU
rnacentral:rRNA from 1 species